AUGCUAGAACCUCCAUUGCUGAGAUCAGAUUGAGGGUAGUCAAGCUCCAAGUCUUCAGACACAUCCAAGUAAGGCGUUGAUUUCUAUGUCAUUGAGAUGGCAUAACGAUGAAUAUAGGUAAAGCUAUGUCAGAGCCUCAGUUAUAACUGGGAAAAAACAGAAUGUUCAAGCAGUUACAGCAGCAGUUAUGUCUAUGACAUCACAGCAUGACUUCACCUAUUAGGAUUU